UACAGAGGCCUCGAGCGUUAGCCGGAAUCACUGGGCUUAAAGCGUGUGUAGGCGGACUUCUAAGUGCCUUGUGAAAUCCCACGGCUCACCCGUGGAACUGCUGGGCAUACUGGGAGUCUUGAGCCACCUAGGGGCGAGCGGAACAAAUGGUGGAGCGGUGAAAUGCGUAGAUAUCAUUUGGAACGCCAACGGAGAAAUCAGCUCGCUGGGGGUGGGCUGACGCUGAGACACGAAAGCCAGGGGAGCGAACGGG
rnacentral:rRNA from 1 species